CUUUUGAAAUUUGAGCAUCGAUCAAGACUCGGUUGGCGUAAAGUUUGUUAUAUUUUAUAAUUUUGCUGGUUUUCUAUAUAUCUGGUUGUAUUUGCUGCAAUGUCGGAUAUUCCGCCUUUGCGCCCUAUGUAUACUUGUUUGCAAUGGAAAUUAUGUGUUGAAAGCCAUUCAUUAGCUUAUCUCUUCUUAUUUUCAAUUUAUAAAUCUGCCGUGCUCAGAUUAUUUAGUUCUCGGUAAAACUCACUGAGCUAUACUAGUAAAAAUAAACAGCCAUUUUGCCUAAACUGAACCACUGAUCUGUAUAGUGCAUUGAAUUAUCAAGAAAACAUGAGCCCGCACGCCCGACCGCUUGAUGUCCUCCAUUUCUGGCCAUGUCUUUUUUGGCAGUGUACGAUACUAUAAACAACGAAAUCGUUGACAUGUUUCAUAUUGAUUGUUUACCAAUAGACACUGGUAUUCACUGGCUAUCAAACUUAGAUAAGACAAAUUUCCUUGUUUUCUUAAGUGAGAAUUUAGUAGUUCUUCUGUCUUUUACAGCAUCUGAAAUACUACCUGUUUCUCCUUAUGUUAAUAAUGCAGCUAUAAAAUGCUGUACUUUUUGUCCAGAUAAUGAAUAUAUAGCAUGCUGUUUUGAAAAUAGUAUUUUGACGGUGCAGAGUAUCGAUAAUGGUAAAGCACUGCAAACUGUUUUUCUGAAAUACCCACCAGAAGCUUGCUGGUGGUCAGAGUUGUAUCUUUGGGUGGUUUGUAAAGGUGUGGUUUUCAAAUUUCCUUACGAUUCAACAUCUGCCGAAGUCUUGGAAAAUGCUGUUGAGGAAUGUAAUAUACAUUUUGAUCGUGUGCUUCAAUUUGCGAAAGGUGUUCUUGUCAUUCGACGUGGUGAGAAAAUUUUCAUGUUUAAAAUUUGUAACGAAGAACUCUGUCUUCAGCAAAUACCCGAUUCUAGUUUUUCUCCAAUGUCUGUUCUGGCAAUAAGUUCAGAUGGCUGUGCUAUUCUGUUACAUCCUAUAAACCGUUCUGAAUGUGAACUUUGGGAAGUAGUAUCUGAGAACAAGUGGGAAUUACGCUCAAAAAUAAGUUUUGAUCAUUUUUAUAAUAAGAAGGGAAGCUGGUUCUGGUUGACUGGCACAUUCAGCUCUCGACGUUUGGAGUGCCUAGGGGAUUUUUUCCCCGGCCCUA